GGAACACAGUGCAAUGCAGCAGAUAACCAAAACAAUUGUUCAGUUUGUGAUAAAAGCAUGAAAUGUGGCACACAUAUUCUAAAUUAACUAAUGUUUAUUUUCAGAUAUGGAGACAUCCUGGAGGUGACCUCUAAUGAACUACAGGGGUCAGUAAAGAAUUACACGGGUCAAAAUAUAAAAAUUCUCCAAUCAUGUUGAAAACUAUACCACACUAUUUGUGUGAUCAUAAGGAUUCCAAAAAUGUAUAGUUUGGGCUAUCCAUGACUGAAUGUUA